rnacentral:rRNA from 1 species
CUACUGCGCGGAGCCUGAUCAGCACGCCGCGUGAGGGAUGACGGCCUUCGGGUUGUAAACCUCUUUCAGUACCGACGAAGCGAAAGUGACGGUAGGUACAGAAGAAGGACCGGCCAACUACGUGCCAGCAGCCGCGGUAAUACGUAGGGUCCGAGCGUUGUCCGGAAUUAUUGGGCGUAAAGGGCUCGUAGGCGGUUUGUCGCGUCGGGAGUGAAAACCAUGGGCUUAACUCAUGGCUUGCUUUCGAUACGGGCAGACUAGAGGUAUGCAGGGGAGAAUGGAAUUCCUGGUGUAGCGGUGAAAUGCGCAGAUAUCAGGAGGAACACCGGUGGCGAAGGCGGUUCUCUGGGCAUUACCUGACGCUGAGGAGCGAAAGUGUGGGGAGCGAACAGGAUUAGAUACCCUGGUAGA